UACGUAGGAUGCAAGCGUUGUCCGGAAUUAUUGGGCGUAAAGAGCGCGCAGGCGGUCUAUCAAGUCAGAUGUGAAAAUAUCCGGGCUUAACCCCGGAGGGGUCAUUUGAAACUGGUAGACUAGAGUACAGCAGAGGAUAGCGGAAUUCCCGGUGUAGUGGUGAAAAUGCGUAGAUAUCGGGAGGAACACCAGUGGCGAAGGCGGCUAUCUGGGCUGAAACUGACGCUGAGGCGCGAAGGCUAGGGGAGCAAACAGG
rnacentral:rRNA from 1 species